rnacentral:RNase_P_RNA from 2 species
AGCUGAAAACCGCACGAGGCGUACUAGCCCGGCGCUGCCUCUGAGACACGGAGCAGACACCAGACGAAGCCGACCAGCGCUCGGCCGAAACUUGGCAUCCUCAUGAAACUAAACAGGCGGGGCCGACCAGCCCGUUUGCACGAGACGAUCUACCGAGCGAGGCCGACCAGCCCGUUCGGGUGCGCUUCCGAGGGUCCGCGGUACGAGGGGAGGAUGGGAUGGAGACGACGGGGGAGCCGCUCUUGAGCUCAAUCGUCGGCGCACGUUCUAGGACGUGCAACUCGAUUCAGACUACUCUUGAGCU